rnacentral:rRNA from 1 species
UACGAAGGGGGCUAGCGUUGCUCGGAAUGACUGGGCGUAAAGGGCGCGUAGGCGGAUGGCACAGUCAGAUGUGAAAUUCCCGGGCUUAACCUGGGGGCUGCAUUUGAUACGUGUUGUCUUGAGUUCGGAAGAGGAGAGUGGAAUUCCCGGUGUAGCGGUGAAAUGCGCAGAUAUCGGGAAGAACACCCGUGGCGAAGGCGGCUCUCUGGGACGGUACUGACGCUGAGACGCGAAAGCGUGGGGAGCGAACAGG